AUUGAACGCUGGCGGCAGGCCUAACACAUGCAAGUCGAGCGAGUGGCGGACGGGUGAGUAAUGUCUGGGGAUCUGCCCGAUGGAGGGGGAUAACUACUGGAAACGGUGGCUAAUACCGCAUACCAUCGGAUGUGCCCAGAUGGGAUUAGCUAGUAGGUGGGGUAACGGCUCACCUAGGCGCCGAUCCCUAGCUGGUCUGAGAGGAUGACCAGCCACACUGGAACUGAGACACGGUCCAGACGCCUACGGGAGGCAGCAGUGGGGAAUAUUGCACAAUGGGCGCAAGCCUGAUGCAGCCAUGCCGCGUGUAUGAAGAAGGCCUUAGGGUUGUAAAGUACUUUCAGCGAGGAGGCGUUACCCGCAGAAGAAGCACCGGCUAACUCCGUGCCAGCCGCCGCGGUAAUAC
rnacentral:rRNA from 1 species